UCACAAAGUGUUUAAGGUGGUAAAAUG
rnacentral:sRNA from 1 species